rnacentral:rRNA from 1 species
CCUACGGGCGGCAGCAGUAGGGAAUAUUGCACAAUGGGGGAAACCCUGAUGCAGCAACGCCGCGUGGAGGAUGAAGGUUUUCGGAUCGUAAACCCCUUUUGUUAGAGAAGAAAAUGACGGUAUCUAACGAAUAAGCACCGGCUAACUCCGUGCCAGCAGCCGCGGUCAUACGGAGGGUGCAAGCGUUACCCGGAAUCACUGGGCGUAAAGGGAUCGCAGGCGGGAAUGCAAGCCAGAUGUGAAAGCCUUGGGCUUAACCAUAGGACUGCAUUUGAAACUGUUAGGCUAGAGUACGGGAGAGGAAGGUGGAAUUCCUAGUGUAGCGGUGAAAUGCGUAGAUAUCAGGAGGAACAC